CAUUCAGGUUGAGAGGAAAAAGUCUGGACCUGUCUGUAAACCUGCCCAGAAGCACAUCCAUAGCACCAAGAUCCCGACCGAGAGACCAAAAAAUUGAGGAGUGCAAAUCAAAUAUUUGUACAAAAGUUUGAUUAGUAUCAUCCCAAAGCCUUUGAAAGGCAAAGCAGAGGUGGACAAGUCAAGGUGACAGGGCCUGAAGAAGGGAUUGAGCCUCCAGGAUCAAAAUUUCAGGAAGUUUGCUAUCAAGAAUGCAUGCAGAAUUAGACGUUUGGAUGGAUGUUAACAUUUAAUGGAAAGAAUGUCCAGAGAAAAGGUGCAAGUUUAUAAUCAACACUCGGAUGAGGCUCAUCUUGAGGGCAUCACAGGUUUGGCUCUCAGACAUCAUCAUGGAGGGUUCAGUGUAAGUUCAAGAAAUUUGUCACCUAUGCAACCAAUGUAACCACUGGGGAAAAAUUUUACACUAACAUAACAUCUACGUACUUCACUGAACUUAAACAAAAUUUAUAAGUGUUGGCUAUUCACAGGAAACAUCAAACAACGUGUUAGAUUUAUAAACACAUAAUCCCUUCUUUAAUCAAAUUCCAGAAGUACAUAUAUAUUGUGUGUUCCGACUAUACCAAUGCAUAUGCAGGAUGGUUGGAUUAAUCUCUUCUUGGUAUGAGCUAAUUUAAUGCUAUAUUUUUCUUCUCUCUUGAUCUAUAUCCCUUAGUGUUGAUGCUAUUCUGUAUCCAAACUUGUAAUCACAGGUGACAGAGGCUUUAAGAGACUUCAACAUCAAAAUUGACCAGUAAUGUGACUAUCAAGAUCCAAUCAUCCAGAAGUAAAUGGACUGUCGUUUGUCUUUAUAUAUACUCUUUUCAUUAUUAUUAGCGAUGAUGGAAAUAAAUGAAACAACAACAAUACAAUUUGAUCUGUAACAACCAUUUCUUUUAAAUGAACUAAAUAUUGGAAUGCAAGCAGAAAUUUUAUAACAAGCCUUGCUAUGGAAAAGACACGAGGCGAAAGAGAUGGAGAAAGAAGAGAAAGAGAUAAAGAGUAGUGAGUAUAUAGACUGUAUAAUCUACUGCUUCAUUAUUGGAGUUCACCAUUUCUCACAGAAUAUACAAUUCAAAUGCACAGAAUUGAAAUUUAAUCAAUACUUUUAUUUCAUUACUGGCAAUAAAACAACAUUAAAAAGCAAAAUUUUAACAAAAUGAUGAUAAAAUAUGCAAGUUCGAAUAGUCUGGAAAUAGAAGUCAAAACGAAAAAAAAAAUAGAAUUAUUAUUUACCACUAACCCGGCAGG